rnacentral:lncRNA from 1 species
UUUUUUUUUUUUUUUUUUUUGUCUUUUUGCGAUUUCUUGGGCCACUCUUGCGGCAUAUGGAGGUUCCCAGGCUAGGGUCUAAUUGGAGCUGUAGCUGCCGGCCUACACCACAGCUCACAGCAACGCCGGAUCCUUAACCCACUGAGCAAGGGCAGGGAUCGAACCCGCAACCUCAUGGUUCCUAGUCGGAUUCGUUAACCACUGCGCCACGACAGGAACUCCCCAGUAAAAUAAUUUUAUAAGUAUUAUCACAAAAACAGACACACAGAUCAUUUAGCCAGAAUAGAGUGCCCAGAAAUAAAUCUAUACACAUAUGGGCAAUUAAUUUAUGACAAAGAAAGUGAGAUUAUAUAACGGAGAAAAGAUAAUCUCUUUCAAUAACAGGUGUUGGGGAAAUUGGACAGUAACAAACAAAAGAGUGAAAGUGGACCAUCGCCUUACACUAUACACAAAAGUUUACUCAAAAUGGAUUAAAGAUGAAUGUAAGACCUGAAAUCGUAAAACUCCUAUAAAAGAAUAUAGGUGAUAAAGCUCUUUGACAGAGAUCUUGGAGGUGAUUUUUUAAAAUCUGACACCAAAAGCAAAAGCAACAAAAGCAAAAAUAAACAAGUGGGACUACAUCAAACUAAAAAUCUCUUGCACAGCAAAGGAAACCAUCAAUAAAAUGAAAAGGGAACUUACUGAAUGGGAGAAAAUAAUUGCAAAUAAUGUAUCUGAUAAGGCUUCAUAUCCAAAUAAAGAAUUCAUACAACUCAACAGCAAAAAGAAAUCCACUUUUUUAAAUGAGCAGAAGAUCUGAACAGACAUUUUUCCAAAGGGACAUACAGAGGGCCAUCAGGCACAGAAAAGAUGCUCAGCAUCACUUAUCAGGAAAGUUCAGAUCAGAACCACAGCGACAUAUCACCUCACACACGUUAGAACAGCUAUUACCAAAAAGACAAGGCAUCAGUGAGGAUUCGGAGGAAAGAGAACCCUCACGCACUCCUAGUGGGAAUGUAAACUGGGGCAGCCACCGUGGAAAACAGUAAAGAGACUGGUCAAAAAAUUUAAAAGAGAGUUACCACGUGACCUAGCAAUUCCAACUGUGAGUGUCUAUCCAAAGAAAACAAAAACACUAACUCAAAAAGGUAUCUGCAGCCUCUAUGGUCAUUGCGGCAUAUUUACACCAGCCAAGAUACAGAAACAGCCUAAGUGUCCAUCAUCAGAUAAAAGGAUAUAGAAAAUAUGGAAUAUACACACAACAGAAAUACUACUCGGCCUCAUAAAGAACGACUCUAACCAUCUGUGACCAUAUGGACGGACCUUCAGGGUAUUAUGCUCAGUGAAAGACCAACAGUAUAUGAUCUCAAAUGUGGAAUCUGAACAGAAACAAACAAAAACUCUAACUCACAGAUACAGAAAACUGACUGGUGGUUUCCAGAGGGGGAAGACAGCAAGAAGAAAUUGGCGACUGGAUUCAAAAGAGUUCUGGUCAUGGUUAACAAACCCACCUAAGAUCCAUGAGGACAGGAGUUCAACCCCUGGCCUCACUCAGUGGGUUAAAGAUCCAGCACUGACAUGAGCUGUGGUCCAGGUCUCAGACACAGCUCAGAUCCUGCAUUGCUGUGGCUGUGGUGUAGGCCGGCGGCUAUAGUUCUGAUUCGACCCCUAGCCUGGGAACCUCCAUAUGCCCCAUGUGUGGCCCUAAAAAAACAAAAAGAAGACGAAAAAAAAAAAAAAGACAAAAGAUAAGCUUUCAGUUAUAAAAGUUACCUGGUGGUGUAACAUACAGCUUGGUGUACAGUUUCUAAUAUGUAAUCAAUACUUGAAAGCUGCUGAGAGAGUAAAUCUUAAAAGUUCUCAUCACAAGAAAAAAAUUUUUUAUUUGUCAGAUGACUGAUGGUUGACUGUGGUGAUCAUUUCAUAAUGUAUACAAACAGCAAAUCUUUACAGUGUGCAUAUGAAAUUAAUAUAGCGAUAUAUGUCAAUUAUACCUAAGUAUUUUUUUUAAAAGGAUAAAGAAACCGUUUAGAGGAAGAAAGCUUCCAGACUUGAUCGAUCAGAUGUGGGAAAUAAGAGGAAAUAAAUGGAGAUCAGAUUACCAGCUUAGGUGGCAUGCUGCAUAUAACUCAACUUAAAGUUACAGGAAACCCAAGAAAGGUUAACUUUCAGAAAAAAAUAAACUACAAGAGGCUCAGCACUGGAAAUACUGAAUCUGCAGCUGGAAAUUUAGGUUGGAGAGGAAGGUUCCCAACAGAACUCUACCCAUCUUGAUUUGAUUGUGUUAUUCAUUUAACAGAUUAUUUGAGAAUCCACCAUGUUGCCAGGAAUGUAGACCAUAAAAAUAUAAAUAUGAACAAGGGGAGUUCCCGCUGUGGCUCAGAGGUAACGAACCCAACCAGUAUCCAUAAGGACGCGGAUCCCUGGCCUCUGUGGAUUAAGGAUUCAGCGUUGUUGUGAGAUGUGGUGUAGGUCGCAGACUUGGCUCAGAUCCCAUGUUGCUGUGGCUGUGGUGUAGACCCGCAGCUGUAGCUCCAAUUCGACCCCUAGCCUGGGAACUUCCAUGUGCCGAAGUUGCAGCCCUAUAAAAACAUAAAAAUGAACAAGAAAUGGUUGCUGUUCAGAAGAGAGAUGUAAUCUACCUCUAGGCAGAGGGCAGACUGGUGGACCACGUUCUCAGAGAAUGACACACAUAUUCUCCACCCUGGCCCCACACUAGGGUCAGGAAAGUUUCUGCACAUCCCCAGGCCACACUCUGGGCUUGGGUCCAGGCAUCAGUGGCUGCUUAAACUCUCCAGGUGAAGCUGCUAUGCAGCCAAGAUCGAGAGCAGUUGCACGACUCAGAGGGGAACACCUGGGACAAAUUCUUUGCCCCACCUGGCAGUAACUGGGGGAGGAGAGGGGAGAAGGAUGAGAGGUGUAAGUAAGGGAACCUUACUGACGGAGCGCCUACCAAAUAACUUAAUGAUGUACAGUUUCUCCAGAGAGAAAAAGUAUCAAAGGCUAACAGUAAGAGUGCAUGGGAAUAAGGCAGGCACUUUAAAUGAGUGGCAAAGUUUUGCAGCGGGCUCUGCAGAGAGUGUGAAAGAGUUUAUUAGGGAGGAGGAGGAACAUUUGAGGCAAGUAUAAAGGUCCGGUGGCAGUGAGUACUCAUGCACGGGGGUAGUAGCAUCCAAGGACUGUGUCACCUUCCCUGACAGUGCUGGCAGCUUGAGAACACACACAAGGAAAAGACUGAUUCGGGAGUACAGACUGAGGGCCCGAAGGAUGCAGGGAACUCAGAGGGCUGGUGAGAGUUAAAGACAGGGCAGAUAAGAAUAAGGCGUGGGUUCACAGGCCUUGAUGAUGAGAACACACUUAAUGAGCAAAGGAGUCAGAGCAAAGGAGAAGGACUUUGGCCAAAAUGAGGUUUAUCAAAUUUAAGCCUUCAAGACAGCAGAGUACAGGGUGAGUAUGGCAACAGACACCUAAUCCGUCUUCAUACCUGCCUUUGUCCCUCUCAACCCAUGAUCCACACUGCCCAUUUCUGAGGUGGAAGUCUGGUCCUCUCUCCCACCCUCAGGCUCCAACCUGCCGGCUGAACUCAGCUAAGAGCCAGCUCCAGAGUCUUCAUUACCACCGCCCCAUCCUGACACAUUUCUACCCACUUCCUCCACACUUUCUCACCCUUGCCCAAUCCUACACAAACUCUGGCAGUUGUCACACUGUUUCACUUUACAAGUUUGUUUUCCCUAUUAGAUGCUGAGUUCCUUGAGAGCUAGAACCAAGAAUUAAUCACCUUUUAAUCCAUAUUUCAACAAUAUUCUUGAUCAAUUCAACAAGCAAAAGUAUCAGCUCUGGUAUUUGUUUGCUUAUGCUUGUAGCAGAAAUUUUAAUGAGGAUUUAUUUGGGGAAGACUCUUUAGGCAACUUGCCCAUUACUGUGAAGCCUUAUUUAGUUAAAACUAGAUGAAUAACAUAAUGUACAAAGACAUGUAACCCAUCACAGUGUAUCAUGUGACCACAUGCUAAAGCAAAUAAUCAAAGCAAGUACUAAUUUCAACUCUUCUGAGUCGUGGAAUUCCAUAUUCUUCCUUUAGGAUACUUCACUUACUGUCUGUGAUGUGUGUCUACCUGAUAAACGCCAGGUAGAACAGCAGUGUCAAUCCAUACUUUCUAAAAGUUGAUGAAAAAUUCUAUUUAUUACAUAAACACAAGCCAAAUUUCUAAUAUUUCUUUCCGGAUUCAUACGGAUCAUCUUACAAGUAUACAAACCUCCCCUUUCAAUGUCAUUGGUCUAAACAUGAGGUAAUGACAUCUUGCCUGGCAGUACAAAAAAUAAAAUACAUAUCAUACUACCUAAAAUAUCUCUUUUAUAAAAGUUGUGUUUAUUUUUUUAUGCUAAAAACUUUAGGGACCAUUUCAGAUGUUUGUCACUUUCUACGACCUUAGAACACUGCUUUCAUAAUACCUUGUACUAUUGCAAUAAGAAGUCAGCAUAUGCGACAGAAAAAGACAGCUUCGGAAGGUGAUCUGGAUCCCUUACCGCAAGACCAAGCCUCCAAAUUAAAAUCAGGUUACUAGGUUCAGGCUGGAGUUGAAGCUUUCAGAGCACUCUGAACGCCCCCUCGGUAUAUUAUCAGGUGUAUAAUUACAUGUUCAAUUUCUGUCCUACCGCAUUAGUUGCAAGCUCCCAAGGGCGGGCUGUCUGGUUGCCUGAUAUGUUUCUAGUCAUAUCAAUGCUGUGUAUGCGGCAUAUAGGAGACAUUCAAAAAAUAGUUACUAAACGAAUGAAUGAAAGAAGUGUAACUGAAGUCACGAUUAAGAAAUUAAAGAGAGCAACAAAAAAUAAGUGCUAAACUCCAUGUUCAGGAACCCCUACUGUGAAGCCAUCAGAGGUGCCAGCCAAAUAGGCUGCGAAGUCCAGGAGGCAGCGGGAAAACCAAGACAGGACAAGGCCUUGGAGGGGUGUGUUGUUGGAAAGGGGCUGGAGAGAGUCACUGCGGAAGUUGCCGAAAAGGCUGUUUGAUUUACCAGGAAAUAACUGGCAACCUCGGGAAUGCUGUUUAGGCACAGUUGUAGAAGCGGAAGUCAAGGGCACAUUCGGCAGGAAAUUCCAAGACGGUAAGAACAGUGAGGAAACAGAGACGAUACACUGGUCUCCGGAACGUGUCAGUGAAACUAGAGAAACUAGGGCUGAACGGGAAUAAGUGAAGAUAUUUCUUCCUCAAGUCAGCAGAUCUACAAGUUUGAGGAAGAGGAUCCAGAGUUUUUUCCUCUAAUGGUGAAUGCAGUGUCAUGAUCUUUUUGCAGAAAUGGACAUGGAUUAUGAUAUACUUGUGAAUAUACUUAUUGUGAAGACAAACAUCUGGAAAGAGAUAAAGUGUUUUCUACAUAAAAAUACAAAAUGAACAAUAAAUGAAAGCCAAGAAUCCUGAUUAUAUAUUUCCUUCUCCAUAUUUCUGGAAAAAUAAGUUAGGAUACACAUGGAGUAAGAUUCAUUCUUUUGUAGUUGCCUUGGGGGGAAAAAGGCUGUUUCUGUCACCACCACAAAGAACAUAAAUAUUUGUAUGUUAUUUGCUAUUCCUUAUAAUAUGCUUAGGCUCUAAUCUUUGUGCCUUUAACAGCCACCGCUGCUAUGGCUGCUGUUUCAGUAAAACUCAGAAGCAUGAAUGUGAGCUCAUGUCACCGCCCACCGGGCCUGCUGUCACUUUCCCAGCCCUAAAGUAAUAAAAGGGCAACACAACAAAUGCAUGGAGCCUUUUCUUAUUCUUGAAAUUCUAGUCUCCCCUCCCUCCGUGCUUGUACCCAUGUGAACUUCAAUCAAGCAUAAGCUGUGUCCUGAGGCUGCUUAACAAGAUACUUGGAAUUACGGGCUUUUGCGCAAAUUCCACGUCACGGGCUCCUUAGUUAUGAAAAUUCACAUUCGUUAUUAACGUUGACAUCGUAUCCCCCCCAGCGGGCGCCCAGGGUCGGCCCUGCAGCCCAGCAGGUGCGCGCUGCCGCGGGCGGGGCUGGGGUCCCUGGAGGUCAAGAGCCGCCCCGAGAGCGUCCUGAGGCGGGGACAGGCCUGGGCGGUAGGUGUCCCCAGCACGGGUUGCAGUCCUGGUGCCCAGCAGAUGCUCAGCAAUGCCGAAUGAAUGAACAGCGGGCGCCGCGGGGACUUGACUUCAAGUCUGUUCUGCAAACGUCCACGAGCGCCAUCCGGGCGUCAGGCACCAGCGGGGCGCGGGACCUACAAGACUCAUUUCACAGGUGCUGUAAUUCUACGCUACAACGUCCCCAUUUUCUCCUAAAACAAAACGGGGGGUUGGGGUUCUCUCUGUUCUGGAGGCUCAGACCAAACUGCAAACGUGCAGCGGCGCAGCGGCCCCGCGGCGCGCUUCUCGCCGCGAACGCCACCCUCCC